rnacentral:rRNA from 1 species
AACGAACGCUGGCGGCAUGCCUAACACAUGCAAGUCGAACGAGACCUUCGGGCCUAGUGGCGCACGGGUGCGUAACGCGUGGGAACCUGCCCUUAGGUUCGGAAUAACUCCCCGAAAGGGGUGCUAAUACCGGAUAAUGUCUUCGGACCAAAGAUUUAUCGCCUUUGGAUGGGCCCGCGUUGGAUUAGCUAGUUGGUAGGGUAAAAGCCUACCAAGGCGACGAUCCAUAGCUGGUUUGAGAGGAUGAUCAGCCACACUGGGACUGAGACACGGCCGAGACUCCUACGGGAGGCAGCAGUGGGGAAUAUUGGACAAUGGGCGAAAGCCUGAUCCAGCAAUGCCGCGUGAGUGAUGAAGGCCUUAGGGUUGUAAAGCUCUUUUACCCGGGAUGAUAAUGACAGUACCGGGAGAAUAAGCUCCGGCUAACUCCGUG